UGUACACACCGCCCGUCACACCAUGGGAGUUGGCCACGCCCGAAGUCGUUACUCUAACCUUAGGGAGGAGGGCGCCGAAGGCAGGGCUGAUGACUGGGGUGAAGUCGUAACAAGGUAGCCGUACCGGAAGGUGUGGCUGGAUCACCUCCUUUUAGGGAGACCUACCCUUAACGGACCUGUAGUUUUAUAGCAGGGGGUUAAAGGAGUCACCUUAGGUCGAGGGAAUUCUGGUUAAGUUUCUAGACUAGGUUAAGGUGAGUGGGGGCUAUUAGCUCAGGUGGUUAGAGCGCACCCCUGAUAAGGGUGAGGUCCCUGGUUCGAGUCCAGGAUGGCCCACUGAGUGGGGGUUUAGCUCAGCUGGUAGAGCGCCUGCUUUGCAAGCAGGAUGUCAGCGGUUCGAGUCCGCUAACCUCCAGUGGAGAGACAUUCAGCAGCGUGUGUUUAGAGGACAUAGGGUGCUGGGUGAGAGCUCAGUAAAGGACCUAGAAAAUAGAAUAGUGAGAGAAGUGCAAGGUAGUUGUACACAGAAUGAGACGCUAGGGAGACGGAUAGGACUAGGCGAGAGUCUAGGGAUAUUGGUCAAGCUAGAACGGGCUCACGGUGGAUACCUAGGCACACAGAGA
rnacentral:sRNA from 1 species